UGACUGAAGCCCCGGUGAACGGCGGCCGUAACUAUAACGGUCCUAAGGUAGCGAAAUUCCUUGUCGGGUAAGUUCCGACCUGCACGAAUGGCGUAACGACUUCCCUGCUGUCUCAACCACAGGCCCGGUGAAAUUGCAGUACGAGUAAAGAUGCUCGUUACGCGCGGCAGGACGAAAAGACCCCGGGACCUUCACUAUAGCUUGGUAUUGGUGUUUGAUUCGGUUUGUGUAGGAUAGGUGGGAGACUGUGAUCAUAUGACGCUAGUUGUGUGUGAGUCGUUGGUGAAAUACCACUCUGAUCGGAUUGAAUGUCUUAACCUUGGCCCAUGAUCUGGGUUGGGGACAGUGCCUGGUGGGUAGUUUAACUGGGGCGGUUGCCUCCUAAAAUGUAACGGAGGCGCCCAAAGGUUUCCUCAGCUUGGUUGGUAAUCAGGUGGUGAGUGUAAGUGCACAAGGGAGCUUGACUGUGAGACCGACGGGUCGAGCAGGGACGAAAGUCGGAACUAGUGAUCCGGCCAUGGCUUGUGGAAGCGUGGUCGCUCAACGGAUAAAAGGUACCCCGGGGAUAACAGGCUGAUCUUCCCCAAGAGUCCAUAUCGACGGGAUGGUUUGGCACCUCGAUGUCGGCUCGUCGCAUCCUG
rnacentral:rRNA from 1 species